UCUAAUGAUUUUUUUUUAAUUUUUGUUUUAUUGUUUGUAUGCUUGGGGUUUUUUUUGUUUGCUUUUUGUUUUUUGUUUUAAGAAUAUCUAUGUUGAGUAUGUUGGCUACCAUUUGAGUCCUUUUCUUCAGGCAAUACUAUUCCCAUUGCUUGUGGAUUAAUACACAGAGUUGCUUCCUCCUGCCCCUGUAAACCAGACAAUCAGUGAGCUAAGCUGGUCAAUGAGCCAUGAUGAAGUGUGAGCAGUAAAUUCUCUUAUCACCAUGGCAACCGGUGUACUCCUUAGACAGUGCCCUAUUGGUAUCUUGGGAAGAGAGCCUGAUGACACAUCACUAAGAUCUCCCUCCACAUUAACCUUGUUGUUUGAUUCACAGUCUUUGGGGACCCUGACCAAUUACAAAUUCAUAAAACUUGUAUUGAUUAUUUUGGACUGCAGAUAUUGGAAUGAUAUUACAUGCGGAUUUAAGUACUUGAAGAUUUUUACUUCUUGAAUUCCAAGUCCUGAGACUGAUAGUGAUACAACCAAAUUCACACCAGAUCGUUUUCCCAAUGAAUAUCAGAAUCCCAAAGAUGAAAUAAAUCAUGGUUUAUAGCUUGUC
rnacentral:lncRNA from 1 species